UCACACUGAAAAUGGCCUCAGGUGUUUCAGUGACCUGAGGUCAGAUACGUGAGCCGAAAUGAUUCUGGGUCGUUGCGCUUAUCGCCUGCCUCACCUGCUGGCAGAGGGAUUAAACCCAUGCCCCUACAAAC